CUGAAAGAAGCCUUGAUCUUGGACGGGAGGAAGUUCCUUCUGCAAUGCGGUCUUCUUUCCCUACAGUCAUUCGGCCAGUCCCAUCUGUGGAUAAGGCAUUUUGACCCCCUGUCCUCCCUCUACACGGCGGCAAGCCUCAGGACUCCUGCCUGAAGAGGAUGACUCAGACUCUGAGCCUGGAGGUUGUGUGAGGGGAGAGAAUGGAAUGAGAUGGAGAGACUCCAGAGAGGUUGAGCAAGAAACCCAGGACAACACAGCAGGACACUGAUUUGAAAUGCCUUGGAGAAGUGGGAGCUGUCAUAUUCUUAGUGGACCUAGAAGGAAUAGACAGAGCUCCUGUGUGUACCAGAGAAGUAAAAGCCACUGCUCUACAUCACACGGUCCCUGCCAGCAGGCCCCAGGAAAGCAGGGCCCUGCUUCUGUCUGCUCCACCACACAGCUGAGUACCAACUUUCCAAGACAGCCACUGUACACAGCAAGGGCACGUCUGUGGUUCUCACAGGAGCCAGGGAGACAGACAAAUAACACAUGAUGAAGACAGAGUGUAAGAAAUGCCUGAAAGGAAGCACAUGGGUACAUGGAACGUGCUCAGCAGAAAGCCUGGCAUUUGAAAGGCCCUGUGAUUGUUUCCAGCAGGUAGGAGUAACAGUCCAGUUUCCAUGGGCUGAUAGGGAAAGAAUCCCCUACGGGUAGGUGAACAGAGAAGGAGAUGGCCUUUUCCUUGCCUCUGAAUUUCUUCAGGCUCUCUGUAAUGGAGCCAGGUCUUCAUUUUGCUUCACUGAGUUUUUCUCCAGGUCCAGAGGAACAGGGGUUGGGCUGAGAAAGCAAAACUCUUAGCUCUUAGGAAAAUAUGGUUCAUCUGUGGGUGGUGAGAUCAGGAAAUGGGUGCAGGGGAGGAUAGACUGUGAUGAGAGGGAUCAGGGGAUGGGGUCCUGGGGUUGGGGAGAAAGUCAGGGGAUAGCUUGGGCGCAUUAGGAGGCCAGGGCUAGGGAUGCAGGGUGGGGGAUGAGGUGGGAUGCAGGGAGAUAUGGAAAUGAAGAGGGAGAUGGGGACAGAGAAGGAGAGAAGACAAAGGGGGUAGGAGGAGGGAGUAGGGACUCAGGAGCCAUUCAGUUGAGCAAGGGGUCAUGCAGGAGGUGCAAAGAAAGAGAAGAAUUUAUGCCAGCAAUAAGAACCUGAAGAUAACAGAUCCUCUUUAGCAACCAACCUACUUACUAAUACCCUCAGUUUAGGUCUUCCUAUCUGCAGCCAAAGUGUUUAACUGCAAAGUUAGAGUGGGUGGGAAUUUGUGAGGGAGGCUUGUUGAGUGUCUUUGAAUAUGUGUUGAGCAUUGUAGGAGAAAUGAGUCAGUAGACAAAGUGCAUUCAGGAUAGCCUGUCAUACCUGCAGAACUUUGAUGUCCUAGAAGAGAAAGAAACAGCACAGCUUCAGCAUUUGGCUGACUCACUGGAGCUAAAGAGGAAAGUGCACACCCUGCCAGGUGGGCAGAGCAGGUAAAGUGAGGACACCCCCAAGCUCACUUCUCCCUACCCACCCACCAUUAGGGGCUCACCCAAGAACUGCCUGAUAUGCCAGUAGGCAGGGAAAUGGUUAGACCUCAAGAGGAACUGCAUGAAGAAGAGGGGAAAUAGCUAUGACAAUGAGAUUUUGGAGAUGACUUUUG